rnacentral:rRNA from 1 species
GUCGUUGGGUCCCUUGAGGACUUAGUGACGCAGCUAACGCAAUAAGUAGACCGCCUGGGGAGGCGGCCGCAAGGUUAAAACUCAAAUGAAUUGACGGGGGCCCGCACAAGCGGUGGAGCAUGUGGUUUAAUUCGAUGCAACGCGAAGAACCUUACCUGGUCUUGACAUAUCUAGAAUCCUGCAGAGAUGCGGGAGUGCCUUCGGGAAUUAGAAUACAGGUGCUGCAUGGCUGUCGUCAGCUCGUGUCGUGAGAUGUUGGGUUAAGUCCCGCAACGAGCGCAACCCUUGUCCUUAGUUACCAGCGGUUUGGCCGGGAACUCUAAGGAUACUGCCAGUGACAAACUGGAGGAAGGCGGGGACGACGUCAAGUCAUCAUGGCCCUUACGACCAGGGCUACACACGUGCUACAAUGGUAGGUACAGAGGGCAGCUACACAGCGAUGUGAUGCGAAUCUCAAAAAGCCUAUCGUAGUCCAGAUUGGAGUCUGCAACUCGACUCCAUGAAGUAGGAAUCGCUAGUAAUCGCGGAUCAGAAUGCCGCGGUGAAUACGUUCCCGGG